rnacentral:rRNA from 1 species
CGGGGUGCAGCAGGCGCGAAAACUUUACACUGCGGGAAACCGCGAUAAGGGGACCCCGAGUGCCAGCACCUAGUGCUGGCUGUCCAGCUGUCUAAAUAACAGCUGUUAGCAAGGGCCGGGCAAGACCGGUGCCAGCCGCCGCGGUAACACCGGCGGCCCGAGUGGUAACCGUUAUUAUUGGGUUUAAAGGGUCCGUAGCCGGCUUAUUAAGUCUCUUGGGAAAUCUGGCGGCUCAAUCGUCAGGCGUCCAAGAGAUACUGGUAGGCUUGGGACCGGGAGAGGUGGGAGGUACUCCAGGGGUAGGGGUGAAAUCUCGUAAUCCUUGGGGGACCACCGAUGGCGAAGGCAUCCCACCAGAACGGGUCCGACGGUGAGGGACGAAAGCUGGGGGCACGAACCGGAUUAGAUACCCGGGUAGUCCCAGCUGUAAACGAUGCUCGCUAGGUGUCAGGUGCGGUGCGACCGCAUCUGGUGCCGCAGUGAAAACUUGAAGCGAGUCACCUGGGAAGUACGGUCGCAAGGCUGAAACUUAAAGGAAUUGGCGGGGGAGCAC